AGGUCUGACCUCUCACCAAGAUGCACCCAGAGCCUAUCAAGAACUGGACACCUCUGGUCUCUAUCUGGGCUGAUUGAGCAUCUUCUAUCCAGCCACUUCCUCCCACUGUGAGACCUCACCUCCUGGCAUCACCAACCACCUGUCACCCCCACCAGUCCCCUGCCCAAGACCUAGAUAAAGGUGAGUAUAAAGGGUGGCACCUGGAAGAAAAGAGUCCAGACUUUCUUUCCAGCUGUAGGAGAUGGCCUACAAAGAUGACCACCAACAAUGCCUGCCAGCCUGGAUGUACAUGCUGCUCUUCCUGUCAAGAGGCGGAGCCAUUCCUCCUCCCUGGAAUCUGG
rnacentral:lncRNA from 1 species